rnacentral:rRNA from 1 species
UACAGAGGGGGCAAGCGUUGUUCGGAAUUACUGGGCGUAAAGCGCGCGUAGGCGGACCUGCAAGUCGGGGGUGAAAGCCCGAGGCUCAACCUCGGAACUGCCUUCGAUACUGCGGGUCCUCGAGUCCGGGAGAGGUGAGUGGAAUUCCUAGUGUAGAGGUGAAAUUCGUAGAUAUUAGGAAGAACACCAGUGGCGAAGGCGGCUCACUGGCCCGGUACUGACGCUGAGGCGCGAAAGCGUGGGGAGCAAACAGG